rnacentral:rRNA from 1 species
UGCAAGUCGAACGAGCUUCCGUUGAAUGACGUGCUUGCACUGAUUUCAACAAUGAAGCGAGUGGCGAACUGGUGAGUAACACGUGGGGAAUCUGCCCAGAAGCAGGGGAUAACACUUGGAAACAGGUGCUAAUACCGUAUAACAACAAAAUCCGCAUGGAUUUUGUUUGAAAGGUGGCUUCGGCUAUCACUUCUGGAUGAUCCCGCGGCGUAUUAGUUAGUUGGUGAGGUAAAGGCCCACCAAGACGAUGAUACGUAGCCGACCUGAGAGGGUAAUCGGCCACAUUGGGACUGAGACACGGCCCAAACUCCUACGGGAGGCAGCAGUAGGGAAUCUUCCACAAUGGACGAAAGUCUGAUGGAGCAAUGCCGCGUGAGUGAAGAAGGGUUUCGGCUCGUAAAACUCUGUUGUUAAAGAAGAACACCUUUGAGAGUAACUGUUCAAGGGUUGACGGUAUUUAACCAGAAAGCCACGGCUAACUACGUGCCAGCAGCCGCGGUAAUACGUAGGUGGCAAGCGUUGUCCGGAUUUAUUGGGCGUAAAGCGAGCGCAGGCGGUUUUUUAAGUCUGAUGUGAAAGCCUUCGGCUUAACCGGAGAAGUGCAUCGGAAACUGGGAGACUUGAGUGCAGAAGAGGACAGUGGAACUCCAUGUGUAGCGGUGGAAUGCGUAGAUAUAUGGAAGAACACCAGUGGCGAAGGCGGCUGUCUAGUCUGUAACUGACGCUGAGGC